AUUGAACGCUGGCGGCAUGCCUUACACAUGCAAGUCGAACGGCAGCACGGGUGCUUGCACCUGGUGGCGAGUGGCGAACGGGUGAGUAAUAUAUCGGAACGUACCUUAUUGUGGGGGAUAACGCAGCGAAAGCUGUGCUAAUACCGCAUAAUCCCUAAGGGGGAAAGCGGGGGACCGUAAGGCCUCGCGCCAUUAGAGCGGCCGAUACCUGAUUAGCUAGUUGGUGAGGUAAAGGCUCACCACGGCAACAAGCAGUAGCUGGGCUGAGAGGACGAUCAGACACACUGGGACGGAGGCACGGCCAAGACUCCGACGGGAGGCAGCGGUGGGGAAUGUUGGACAAGGGGGGCAACCCUGAUCCAGCCAUGCCGCGUGAGGGAAGAAGGCCUUCGGGUUGUAAAGCUCUUUCGGCCGGGAAGAAAUCGCACAGGAUAAUACUCUGUGGGGAUGACGGUACCGGCAUAAGAAGCACCGGCUAACUACGAGCCAGCCGCCGCCGUAA
rnacentral:rRNA from 1 species